UCUCUCUCUCUAACCGUUUUCGAUUCCACCAACAUUGCGCUCGCUCUCCAUCGUCAUUCGUCACCGCCGUCGCCGAUUGCUCUCCGUUGUCACCGCCGUCGCCGAUUGCUCUCACCACCGUUGUGAAUCGUGCACCACCGUUGUGGCUCAUCUCACCGGAUUUAAAAGUGUUCUCGAUCUAAUCUAGCUUUCGAUCUACACUGUAUCAUCGUCAAGCUCUCAAAUCUCACAUUGACGUUCUCAUUCUUCCUUUCUCCAUAGCUUUCGUGGUAAAUCUCACUGGUAUUGACGUUCUCAUUCUUCCUUUCUCGUACUUUUGAUUCACAAAAUUGGAUAAAUUUGCCCAAUUCUGAACCCUAAUUUCAGAUUAUCAUUUUUAACUUGAUACUUUUCUUUGAUUGAACAUGUUUUUGGUACUUUCUUAGCUUGAACUGUUUUAAUUUUCGGAUUUCUAUUUCCAAUUUGCUUAAUAUCGUGCUUUUUUAUUCGAUUCAGGUUUGGGAAAUUGUCAGUAUUAUUGUAUUACGUUAUUUUGUUCUUAGUUGUUGAUCAUUGUUAGGAGAAUCAUACGACGAAGAUAUGGCGGAGACAACUUAUGUUGAAGAGAUAACCUAGCUAAGUUCACUCUUCUCAACCGGAUUUUGGGAAUAGCUCCUGAGACUCAGAAUAGGUUUGUAUUUUGUGAAUGAAAUGAUUUGAUGCUUCUAUUCUACUUUCAGCAUUUUGUUCUAUACACUAUCUUUUGCUGUAUCAACCGCUAUUUGAGUUAUUUGUGAAUAUCUUGGAUCUUCUUGUUCAAAAAGCUCGAAUUGAAGGUAACCUUGACACAUGCAUUAUUGACUUGAAAGCUAACGUCAUUAAACUGAAAGGGACUCCAAAAGUAUGUAUUUAUGUCCUAAACUUCUUGCUGCCACUUAUUUUCAUAUGUUACUGUAUAGAAUAUUUAAGACUGAAGAUAACUUUCCUUUGGUGCAGAAUGUCUAUGUUGAUCAAAUGAACGGGGCUUCAACUGUUCUGUACACAUUCAUCUUGGAUCGUGGGGUUUCAUCGGAGUUGCAAAAUACCAUGCUGAAUGAGAAGCAGAAAGCUGGAUUUGGCUCAUAUGGUGAUGGCUUCUACAAGUCCAAGAGGGAGUGGUUGGGAAAACGUCAUGUAAUUUUAUUAUUUCAAAGAGAUAAAAGGAUAAGGGCUGAAAGGGAUAAAUUUCUUACUAAAAUAGAUACUAAGGAUUAGAGAAAUUAAAUAAGUUCUGCUCCGGCUAUGUAUAAGAUAGUUCGUCCCACUACCAGAGAAUCACCUCGGAACUCAAUGGACUGUGGUCCUGAUGACAGAUUUGCUCCAGACCUGUUUUAGCGAGGAAUUUAUUUCAGGACAUCAGAAGUGUUGACUGCUAAAGGUGUCAAGCCAACAUUAUCUCCUAACUUUAAUACCCUUGCAGUUGAUGAGGUGUGUUAAUCCCUUUCUAUUGUAGAAUAUGUCAUAUAAGUACCGUUUAUGUUUUUUAAUUGCUUGUAGAAACAAAUCUUUGUAGAUACCUUUUUAUAUCCUUAUGUUGCUGUUUGAAGUAGUAUCUAGAGGAAUAGCGAACUUUCAGUAUAUCACACAAGGUUGAUUACAAAAUUAUGCAAGGGCUUGUUGCGUCUUAAUGCUAAACCCUCUGAAAUAUUUAGACCUCAUGUAUUCAUGUUAGAAAUAGACUCGGCAUGUGGAAGUAUCAUUCGAGUUGUAUUAAUUAUGAUUAAAUUUCACUCUACAAUUUAGCCUAAUCAGUUUUGAUUAGAAAAAAUUUAUGAAAGGGCCUGAUAAUAUAUGAUUAAA